rnacentral:lncRNA from 1 species
GCCCAGGACGCCCCCGGCCCAGGCCCUUGGGGUUUGGUGCCAGCUGCGGGGCGCCUGGGCUUGGGGAAGAAACCUUGUGUACGCACACCUGCACACACACACAGUCUCCGGAGGUUAAUACCUCUGCCAACCGAGGCCACCCUCCCUCGGACCCCCAUUCGGAGGAAGCAGACCCAAGUUCGAAUUCUGACAUUGCCACUGAGCAGCCGUACAACUUUUGGGUGGACAAGUCCUUCACUUCUCGCCGGAGUGUGUGGAGGAGCGAUGGGCAGAACCAGCACUUCCCUCAGGCACUAGACCUGUCACGAGUGAACUUAGUUCCCUCCUAUACUCCUUCACUCUACCCUAAGCUAUUUCACCUCUUGGAACCGGCUUCUCAUCUGUAUAAUGGAGAUGACAUUUGUACCUC